rnacentral:rRNA from 1 species
AUGAACUAUGGGACUGUGUUUCGCUGCUAUCUCAAGAUCCUCCAGAUACCUGUUAAUGAAACACAUGGUAGACAAAGGGCUCUGGAAUUCAUCAUCAUGGAUUGCUCUUCUACGUGCCCACCAAAUUGCCCACAAGGAAAUCUCAACAAUCUUGUCCAAAACCCUCUUCUCCUCCUCGCCCGGCCCAACACGGACCGGCUGGUUGCCGCUGUAUCCAGGUCGGGACGGACGGGAGCGUGUGUUGUUGUUUGCAGGGACAAAGAAGGAAACUACAUUGGCGCAUCAGCUAUGGUUUUUGAAGGCCUAGUUGGCGCUGCAAACCUGGAGGCCCAAGCAUGCAAUGAGGCACUUGCUCUCGCACAAGAUCUUCAUCUAUCACAUGUGAUCAUAGCGUCGGACUGCAUGCAAGUCGUCUCAGACAUCAAUGGCGCUGCACAAUCUUCUUCUUAUGCUUCCCAGCGUGCUAAACGGGCCAUCGGGCCGGCCCAUUUACUAAUCAGGCCGUGCCUGGGCCAAGGAGCAGCGCCCGUGGGCCGGCACGACAUGACCUGGCUAUUAAACGUGCCAUGGCGGGCCGUGCCGGGCCAGGCACGAUUAGCACAGGCCGGGCCGUGCCGUGCCGGGCCGACCCGUUUGGCCAGCCGAGACGCACACGCCGCCGCGCGGGACCUCCACGAGGGCGUCUGGCGUCACCCCGGCGCACCCGCCGAGACUGCUGCGCCGCCGCGCCGCCGCGAGAAGGGCGGAGGUCGCCAGGGAGAGAGCAUCAAAAGGAGGAGAGGGAGGUGGAAGAGGCGCCCUGCCGCCACCGCGGGCAGGCCGCCGGUGGCGCCGGCGACAGAGGAGGACGUGGCUGAGGGGGCUGAAGGUGAGGCGGCGGGAAAUCGCCCGGUGAGUCGCGAGAGCAACCCACGGGACGGAGGGAAAAGUGGCGGUGGAUUCCUUGGUUUUCACUGUUUCGUUCCCAAAUCAGAUUCGACCGGGCAAGCAUAUCCAGUUCUCUCCCGGAUUGGAUUGGGGUGGGAAGGAUCUACAUCAGAACGCGACCGGAGUAGCCGCCGGAGCUGCCGCAGUCUUGGUCUCUUUGAUUUGCGGCUCCGGCCGCCCGUGUGGUUGUAG